GGGUGGUUAGCUCAGUGGGAGAGCGCUUCCCUGACGCGGAAGAGGCCGCUGGUUCAAUUCCAGCACCACCCACCA
rnacentral:tRNA from 1 species